AGAGUUUGAUCAUGGCUCAGAAUGAAUGUUGGCGGCGUGGAUUAGGCAUGCAAGUCGCACGCUUUAUGUAGCAAUACAUGAAGAGUGGCGUAAGGGAGAGUAAUGCAUGGUUAGCUACCCCCGGGACUGGGAUAGCGGCGGGAAACUGCCGGUAAUACCAGAUGAUAUCUUCGGAUCAAACGUGUGAAACGGCCCGGGGAGGUGACCAUGUCCUAUCAGCUAGUUGGCGGUGUAACGGACCACCAAGGCUAAGACGGGUAUGGGGCGUGAGAGCGUGCCCCCACUCACUGGGACUGAGACACUGCCCAGACACCUACGGGUGGCUGCAGUCGAGAAUCUUCGGCAAUGGGCGCAAGCCUGACCGAGCGACGCCGCGUGCGGGAUGAAGGCCUUCGGGUUGUAAACCGCUGUCGUAGGGGAGGAAGAUCCUGUGAAGAACAGGGUUUGACCGAUCCUAGGAGGAAGGGCCGGCUAAUCUCGUGCCAGCAGCCGCGGUAAUACGAGAGGCCCAAACAUUAUUCGGAAUUACUGGGCUUAAAGACGUAGGCGGCAUGGUAAGUAGGGGUGUGAAAUCCCUCGGCUCAACCGAGGAAUUGCGCUCUAAACUACCGUGCUCGAGGAAGCUAGAGGUGAGCGGAACUGAUGGUGGAGCGGUGAAAUGCGUUGAUAUCAUCAGGAACACCGGAGGCGAAGNNGGCUCACUGGGGCUUUUCUGACGCUGAGGAACGAAAGCCAGGGUAGCGAACGGGAUUAGAUACCCCAGUAGUCC
rnacentral:rRNA from 1 species